rnacentral:rRNA from 1 species
GAUGAACGCUAGCGGCAGGCUUAAUACAUGCAAGUCGAGGGGCAUCAAGGUACACGAAAGUGUAUUGUUGGCGACCGGCGGACGGGUGAGUAAUAGGUAGGUAACCUACCUCAUACUGAGGCAUAGCUGGGAGAAAUUCCAGGUAAUUCCUCAUGAGGUUAUAUGACACAUGUGAUAUAAUCAAAGGUAUCGCAAGGUACUGGUAUGAGAUGGGCUUACUGACCAUUAGCUAGUUGGUGAGAUAAGAGCUCACCAAGGCGAAGAUGGUUAGGGGUUUUGAGAGAGAGAUCCCCACAUUGGAACUGAGAUACGGUCCAGACUCCUACGGGAGGCAGCAGUAGGGAAUAUUGGGCAAUGGGCGGAAGCCUGACCCAGCCAUGCCGCGUGAAGGAAGACGGCCUUAUGGGUUGUAAACUUCUUUACUAUGCGACUAACUAGAUUUACGAGAUAAUUCUAUAGAAUGUAGCAUAGACAAAAGCACGGA